UUACGGCAAUAUCCUGUUGAAACACCGGUCUCGUAUGAUCACUGAAGUUAAGCAACGUCGAGCCUGGUCAGUAUCUAGAUGGGUGACCGCUUGGGAAUAGCAGGUGCUGUAAG